rnacentral:sRNA from 1 species
CUCAGGCUUAGGCUUAGGCUCAUGAUUGGACUUUAGCUUAGGUUUAGGCAUAG